AAUCAACGCUGGCGGCGUGCCUAACACAUGCAAGUCGCACGAGAAAGGGGCUUCGGCCCUGAGUAAAGUGGCGCACGGGUGAGUAACACGUGACUAAUCUACCCUCGAGUGGGGAAUAACCUAGGGAAACCUGGGCUAAUACCGCAUAACACUUACGAGUCAAAGCAGCAAUGCGCUUGGGGAGGAGGUCGCGGCAGAUUAGCUAGUUGGUGGGGUAAUGGCCCACCAAGGCGAUGAUCUGUAUCCGGCCUGAGAGGGCGCACGGACACACUGGAACUGAAACACGGUCCAGACUCCUACGGGAGGCAGCAGUGGGGAAUUUUGCGCAAUGGGGGAAACCCUGACGCAGCAACGCCGCGUGGAGGAUGAAGUCUCUUGGGACGUAAACUCCUUUCGAUCGGGACGAUAAUGACGGUACCGAUAGAAGAAGCCCCGGCUAACUUCGUGCCAGCAGCCGCGGUAAUACGAGGGGGGCAAGCGUUGUUCGGAAUUAUUGGGCGUAAAGGGCGCGUAGGCGGUUUGGCAAGUUUCGUGUGAAAACUUCGGGCUCAACUCGAAGCCUGCACGGAAAACUGCCGGGCUUGAGUAUGGGAGAGGUGAGUGGAAUUUCCGGUGUAGCGGUGAAAUGCGUAGAUAUCGGAAGGAACACCUGUGGCGAAAGCGGCUCACUGGACCAUAACUGACGCUGAGGCGCGAAAGCUAGGGGAGCAAACAGGAUUAGAUACCCUGGUAGUCCUAGCCCUAAACGAUGAUUGCUUGGUGUGGCAGGUACCCAAUCCUGCCGUGCCGAAGCUAACGCGAUAAGCAAUCCGCCUGGGGAGUACGGUCGCAAGGCUGAAACUCAAAGGAAUUGACGGGGGCCCGCACAAGCGGUGGAGCAUGUGGUUUAAUUCGACGCAACGCGAAGAACCUUACCUGGGCUCGAAAUGUACAGGAAUCCGGUAGAAAUAUCGGCGCCCAGCAAUGGGCCUGUAUAUAGGUGCUGCAUGGCUGUCGUCAGCUCGUGUCGUGAGAUGUUGGGUUAAGUCCCGCAACGAGCGCAACCCUUACCUCCAGUUGCUACCAUUUAGUUGAGCACUCUGGCGGAACCGCCUCGGAUAACGGGGAGGAAGGUGGGGAUGACGUCAAGUCCUCAUGGCCUUUAUGUCCAGGGCUACACACGUGCUACAAUGGCCGGUACAAACCGUCGCGAACCUGUGAAGGGGAGCCAAUCGGAAAAAGCCGGCCUCAGUUCGGAUUGGAGUCUGCAACUCGACUCCAUGAAGCUGGAAUCGCUAGUAAUCGCAGAUCGGCACGCUGCGGUGAAUACGUUCCCGGGCCU
rnacentral:rRNA from 1 species